rnacentral:rRNA from 1 species
GACGAACGCUGGCGGCGUGCCUAAUACAUGCAAGUAGAACGCUGAAGGAGGAGCUUGCUCUUCUGGAUGAGUUGCGAACGGGUGAGUAACGCGUAGGUAACCUGCCUGGUAGCGGGGGAUAACUAUUGGAAACGAUAGCUAAUACCGCAUAACAGUAGAUGUUGCAUGACAUUUACUUAAAAGGUGCAAUUGCAUCACUACCAGAUGGACCUGCGUUGUAUUAGCUAGUUGGUGGGGUAACGGCUCACCAAGGCGACGAUACAUAGCCGACCUGAGAGGGUGAUCGGCCAGACUGGGACUGAGACACGGCCCAGACGCCUAGGGGAGGCAGCAGGAGGGAAUCUUCGGCAAUGGACGGAAGUCUGACCGAGAAACGCCGCGGGAGGGAAGAAGGGUUUCGGAUCGGAAAGGUCUGUUGUAAGAGAAGAACGAGUGUGAGAGUGGAAAGUUCACACUGUGACGGUAUCUUAACAGAAAGGGACGGCUAACUACGUG